GAUGAACGCUGGCGGCGUGCCUAAUACAUGCAAGUCGAGCGAAUGGAUUAAGAGCUUGCUCUUAUGAAGUUAGCGGCGGACGGGUGAGUAACACGUGGGUAACCUGCACAUAAGACUGGGAUAACUCCGGGAAACCGGGGCUAAUACCGGAUAACAUUUUGAACCGCAUGGUUCGAAAUUGAAAGGCGGCUUCGGCUGUCACUUAUGGAUGGACCCGCGUCGCAUUAGCUAGUUGGUGAGGUAACGGCUCACCAAGGCAACGAUGCGUAGCCGACCUGAGAGGGUGAUCGGCCACACUGGGACUGAGACACGGCCCAGACUCCUACGGGAGGCAGCAGUAGGGAAUCUUCCGCAAUGGACGAAAGUCUGACGGAGCAACGCCGCGUGAGUGAUGAAGGCUUUCGGGUCGUAAAACUCUGUUGUUAGGGAAGAACAAGUGCUAGUUGAAUAAGCUGGCACCUUGACGGUACCUAACCAGAAAGCCACGGCUAGCUACGUGCCAGCCGCCGCCGUAA
rnacentral:rRNA from 1 species